rnacentral:rRNA from 1 species
GACGAACGCUGGCGGCGUGCUUAACACAUGCAAGUCGAACGAAGUGGCGAACGGGUGAGUAACGCGUAAUCAACCUGCCCUUCAGAGGGGGACCACCGUUGGAAACGACUGCUAAUACCGCAUACUGAAGGAGGGGAUUGCGUCUGAUUAGCUAGUUGGAGGGGUAACGGCCCACCAAGGCGAUGCUCAGUAGCCGGUCUGAGAGGAUGAACGGCAACAUUGGGACGGAGACACGGCCCAGACUCCUACGGUAGGCAGCAGUGGGGAAUCGUCCGCAAUGGACGAAAGUCUGACGGAGCAACGCCGCGUGAGUGAUGACGGCCUUCGGGUUGUAAAGCUCUGUUAAUCGGGACGCGGUACCGGAAUAGAAAGCCACGGCUAACUACGUGCCAGCAGCCGCGGUAAUUC